rnacentral:misc_RNA from 1 species
AACGCACAUUGCGCCCCUUGGUAUUCCGAGGGGCAUGCCUGUUCGAGCGUCAUUACAAACCUCAAGCAUCGCUUGGUGUUGGGUGUUGCCCUCAGCGGGGCACACCCCAAAGCCCUCGGCGGCCCCGUCCCGCUUCAAGCGUCGUGAACGUCUAAAACGCGUCUCGCUUUGGAAGUCCGGGCCGGCGCUUGCCGUGAAAGCCAUAUCAUCUCAAGUUUGACCUCGGAUCAGGUAGGGAUACCCGCUGAACUUAA